rnacentral:rRNA from 1 species
UGGUGCCAGCAGCCGCGGUAAUUCCAGCUCCAAUAGCGUAUAUUAAAGUUGUUGCAGUUAAAAAGCUCGUAGUCGAAUUUCGGGGUUAGUAAGUUGGUCAUGCCUUCGGUAUGAACUGGCUUUACUGAUUCCUCCUUCUUGAUGAACUGUAAUGUCAUUAAUUUGGUGUUGCAGGGAAUCAGGACUGUUACUUUGAAAAAAUUAGAGUGUUUAAAGCAGGCAUAAGCUUGAAUACAUUAGCAUGGAAUAAUGAAAUAGGACGUUUGAUCCUAUUUUGUUGGUUUCUAGGAUUGACGUAAUGAUUAAUAGGGAUAGUUGGGGGCAUUAGUAUUCAAUUGUCAGAGGUGAAAUUCUUGGAUUUAUUGAAGACUAACUACUGCGAAAGCAUUUGCCAAGGAUGUUUUCAUUAAUCAAGAACGAAAGUUAGGGGAUCGAAGACGAUCAGAUACCGUCGUAGUCUUAACCAUAAACUAUGCCGACUAGGGA